rnacentral:lncRNA from 1 species
AGGUAGGACCCGCCAGACGGUCCCCAGUUCUCCUCCGCCCGCCUGCCGCGCCGCCACCGCCGCCGCCGCCAUGAAGAAGCAAUUCAACCGCAUGAAGCAGCUGGCCAAUCAGACUGUCGGCAGGCGAGUGCGCGGGUCGCGCCGGCGGGGGGCGCGCGGGGGGCGGGCCGGUCCUGCGCGCGAGGAGCCGGGGAGCGGGGAGAGCCGGGCGCGGCCCGGCCUUGGGCCCCGCGGGGCGGGGGUCUGCGCCUAGCUACGGCUUGGGCGCUGCCCAUUGUCCUGGCCGGAGGAGCAUCGUCCUCGGGAGACUCACGAGGGUCUUUACUCCUCCCUGUCCCCGCCAGCCGGAGCUCGCCGCCUGGUGCGAAAACUCCGUAAACUUGUGUGCCUCUCGCAGUGCCAGGCGCGCAGCUUUGGGGCCGGUGUUCUCAGGCUCUCCCCGCUGAUCCGCUGUUGCAGCCUUCCUCCUAGAAGAGCUUGCUGGUCACUGGGAACCUAAGGGGUGUUAGGCUACUGUGGCUUGCCCAGUUAAGUUCAGCCCCCCUCCCCUCUGUGAAGGAAUCGAGAACUGCAGUCUCAAAAUCCAGGCUUUUGGGAGUUUGCUGUGAGUUCUUGAGGUCUAGAGGUUUGGAAAGCGAAAAGGAUGCCUUUUCUCAUCUCACCUUGGAUGUGGUAUUUUCUGACACUGAGUGAGUGCUUGACAAGAAACUGAUUUUUUUUUUUUUUAAUGAAAGAAUACAGGAGGGACAGUAGAUGAGUAGGCUGUAGAACAGGAACGAUUUGCGGUUUUUAGAGCUUUCAGGAGGCUGUUGUCAUGUGCUGUGCUAUCUGGAACAAAUAUUUCAAGGUCUUGCAGGGCGGAUAGCUUUGCCGAACCAAUUUGCUGGUUAUUCUGCACGAAGAUAGAUGGGUUUUUCACAGCUCUUGCUGUUACCCUCCUCCCUUAGCAGUUAAGGACAGUUUGGUUUGGUUGAAGCACGUGAGACACUUCUUUUUUUAUGUGUACGAAAAUACUUUUACUUCCUCUUGGGUUUUCUAAAUUUGCUUUUUACAAUGUUUCAUUUCCCCCAACCUUUUGCUAAGUUUUGUUAUUGAAUUUC